AGUGAACGCUGGCGGUAGGCCUAACACAUGCAAGUCGAACGGCAGCACAGGAGAGCUUGCUCUCUGGGUGGCGAGUGGCGGACGGGUGAGGAAUACAUCGGAAUCUGCCCAGUCGUGGGGGAUAACGUAGGGAAACUUACGCUAAUACCGCAUACGACCUUCGGGUGAAAGAGGGGGAUCGCAAGACCUCUCGCGAUUGGAUGAGCCGAUGUCGGAUUAGCUAGUUGGCGGGGUAAUGGCCCACCAAGGCGACGAUCCGUAGCUGGUCUGAGAGGAUGAUCAGCCACACUGGAACUGAGACACGGUCCAGACUCCUGCGGGAGGCAGCAGUGGGGAAUAUUGGACAAUGGGCGCAAGCCUGAUCCAGCCAUACCGCGUGGGUGAAGAAGGCCUUCGGGUUGUAAAGCCCUUUUGUUGGGAAAGAAAUCUUUCAGGCUAAUACCCUGGGAGGAUGACGGUACCCAAAGAAUAAGCACCGGCUAACUUCGUG
rnacentral:rRNA from 1 species